CGGGAAGCUGGUGCUCUGCCCCUGCAGAAGCAACAAGAUGACAGCGUCUCAAAAGAACAGAAGGCCACGAUCCCACGGAGAUUUAACAGCAUAACCUGCAGCCUCGGCGAUCUUGCUCAAUCUGCCAGGAGGACUGUGUUAUCCCCAGAAAUGUAUUUCAGAUAGACCUGAUGUUACGAGUCAUAUAAAAGAAUGGUAGCCCCUGGUGCAAGAUGCUAGUCAAUAGCUACAAUUUAUUAAGUGCCAACCACACACCAGCUACCUCACCACCCUACGUCUGUAUAAGGAACUUCCCCAGCUGCAGAGGGUCUCCCUUACAAGGACUUAAAGCCCACAGACUCCCAAAGACCUCCCGAAGGGUACUAAAAUGGAAUAAUCUGUCACAACUGGGGCAAAGGAAAGCCAUUCACAGUUUGAUGGCAUUUACAGGUGGACAGCACUUUCUCAGCAGACACUCGACACCUAACCCAGCCAGGGCUACUGUCCUUAAACAGAGAAGAAUGGACCUUGCCAGCUCACCUCGGAACAGGGACUUGGCCAGAGGGUAUGGGGAGGCAUGGGGGGCU
rnacentral:lncRNA from 1 species